GCUCAGAUAGCUGUCUUUACCCCAGCUGCAUGAGUGGUGGUGGCUGACAGCUCUCCUCUGAGUCCCUCCCUGGGAUUUGCCAGGGCUAAGUUCAUGCUCACAUCUUGGGACUGUAUGCACCAAAGAGUGCUCAUUGAGGGUGGCCUCCUUGACUUCACUUGAAACAUUUCUGACCUCUCCGUGGGUAAGCUGAGGCGUGGAUUUUGAUGACCUUGAAGUUCAAAUGUCUCCCUUCACCAAGUCCUAUUUCUUUUACUUCCCCACAGGUCUUGAUCCUUAUGAUUCCUCCUGGACCCAAGUCUCUGUCUGAAGUCUGUUUCUUGGGAACCUGAUCUGCAGAAUUAAAGAAAUGAAACCUAGUUAAUGGAGAGAGGAUGGAGCCAAACCAUGUUCUUCUCUUCUAGGAAAAAUCAGUGGAGGCAAUUUGGGGGCAGCAGUAGUUAGACUCGGACAUAAGGAGGACACCAGCAGCUUUCCCUGGAGAGGUGGAGGGAACCAGCAGUCUAGAAGGGAGAGUGAGAGAGCACACAGCCAAGCAAGGCGCCAAACUUCUGGCACUGAUACAAGGCUUGGGUCGCACAGUGAAGGAGAGUGCUUCUUGCUGACCCAGCAAAUACCAGAUGGCUCAGCCAGAGUACAAGUAACUCAAUUUCCGGAUGCACACUCAGACCUCCAGCAUUCUGUUCUGUAACUGUGAUGGAUCCGAAGAACUAACAGGUAUCUCCGUGGAUAGUGGUCUACCCUAGUUUAAGGAUGGGCCUGGGAACCAAAAUACAUGAAGAUUUCAGUUCUGCAACUUUCUGUCUGUAUGAUUUUGGCCAAGUUCCUUAAUUUUACUGAGCCUCCAUUUCCUCAUCUCUAAAAUGGGGGUGGGAGGAAUUAUUACUGCUUCAUAACAUUAGACUGUGAAGAAUUAGGUAAGUUAAUUACCUAAGACAUGGCAGGUGCUUAGCACAUGAUAUCCAUUAUAUUAGGUAUAAACACGUUAUUUAUUUAUUUAUUUUUAAAAGAUUUUAUUUAUUUAUUCAUGAGAGACAUACACACACAGAGAGGCAGAGACACAGGCAGAGGGAGAAGCAGGCUCCAUGCAGGGAACCUGAUGUAGGACUCGAUCCCAG
rnacentral:lncRNA from 1 species